AUUGAACGCUGGCGGCAUGCCUAACACAUGCAAGUCGAACGGUAACAGGCCCUUCGGGUGCUGACGAGUGGCGGAUGGGUGAGUAAUACUUAGGAAUCUACCCUGUAGUGGGGGACAACCCGGGGAAACUCGGGCUAAUACCGCAUACGCUCUACGGAGGAAAGCGGGGGACCGCAAGGCCUCGCGCUAUUGGAUGAGCCUAAGCCCGAUUAGCUAGUUGGUGGGGUAAUAGCCACCAAGGCAGUGAUCGGUAGCUGGUCUGAGAGGACGACCAGCCACACUGGGACUGAGACACGGCCCAGACUCCUACGGGAGGCAGCAGUGGGGAAUAUUGGACAAUGGGCGAAAGCCUGAUCCAGCGAUGCCGCGUGUGUGAAGAAGGCCUGCGGGUUGUAAAGCACUUUCAGUAGGGAAG
rnacentral:rRNA from 1 species